rnacentral:RNase_P_RNA from 1 species
CAGGCAGGCCGGGCGGCCGCUGCCGGAGAGGCGCAAGCUUCGAUGGGAGAGGAAAGUCCGAACUCCGCAGGGCAAUGUGCCGGAUAACGUCCGGGAUCGCAGCGUCAAGGCUGCGAGACGGCCAGUGCCACAGAGAACAUACCGCCCGCGUCCCGUAAGGGCUGCGGGUAAGGGUGAAAAGGUGCGGUAAGAGCGCACCGCGCUGACGGUAACGGCAGCGGCAUGGUAAACCCCACAUGGAGCAAGACCAAAUAGGGAGGAAAUCCCCGGCUCGACCCGAAAGCCGUGGAUGCGCAUCGGCCCGGUGCGCCAACGCGGGUUAUUCAACAGUCGCGCAAGCGGCUGAAGAAGCGGAAACCUCCGGGUAGGUUGCUGGAGCGCGUCAGUAAUGGCGCGCCUAGAGGAAUGGCCGUCCUCGACAGAAUUCGGCUUACAGGCUGCUUGCAGU